rnacentral:rRNA from 1 species
AGCAGCCGCGGUAAUUCCAGCUCCAAUAGCGUAUAUUAAAGUUGUUGCAGUUAAAAAGCUCGUAGUUGAAUUUCGGGAUCAAUACGUCGGUCGUGCUUCGGUACGUACUGGCGUCAUUGAUUUCUCCCUUCUGACGAACCAUGAUGUCAUUAACUUGGUGUCAUGGGAAAUCAGGACUGUUACUUUGAAAAAAUUAGAGUGUUUAAAGCAGGCUCACGCUUGAAUACAUUAGCAUGGAAUAAUGAAAUAGGACGUUCGAUCCUAUUUUGUUGGUUUUUAGGAUCAACGUAAUGAUUAAUAGGGAUAGUUGGGGGCAUUAGUAUUCAAUUGUCAGAGGUGAAAUUCUUGGAUUUAUUGAAGACUAACUACUGCGAAAGCAUUUGCCAAGGAUGUUUUCAUUAAUCAAGAACGAAAGUUAGGGGAUCGAAGACGAUCAGAUACCGUCGUAGUCUUAACUAUAAACUAUGCCGACUAGGGAUCGGAUGAUGUUAAUUAUUUAAUGACUCAUUCGGCGCCUUACG